UAGAGCCUUGUCAUCAUGGAAUGUUCUGCUACCAGAGGUCACUCAGUGAUCUAUAGAGUCAUGUCAUCAUGGGAAUAUUCUGCUACCAGAGGUCACUCAGUGAUGUAUAGAGUCAUGUCAUCAUGGAAUGCUCUGCUACCAGAGGUCACUCAGUGAUGUAUAGAGCAUUGUCAUCAUGGAAUGCUCUGCUACCAGAGGUUACUCAGUGAUGUAUAGAGCCUUGUCAUCAUGGAAUGCUCUGCUACCAGAGGUCACUCAGUGAUCUAUAGAGUCAUGUCAUCAUGGGAAUAUUCUGCUACCAGAGGUCACUCAGUGAUGUAUAGAGUCAUGUCAUCAUGGAAUGCUCUGCUACCAGAGGUCACUCAGUGAUGUAUAGAGCAUUGUCAUCAUGGAAUGCUCUGCUACCAGAGGUUACUCAGUGAUGUAUAGAGCCUUGUCAUCAUGGAAUGCUCUGCUACCAGAGGUCACUCAGUGAUCUAUAGAGUCAUGUCAUCAUGGGAAUAUUCUGCUACCAGAGGUCACUCAGUGAUGUAUAGAGUCAUGUCAUCAUGGAAUGCUCUGCUACCAGAGGUCACUCAGUGAUGUAUAGAGCCUUGUCAUCAUGGAAUGCUCUGCUACCAGAGGACCAGAGUCAGAGGUCACUCAGUGAUGAAUAGAGCCUUGUCAUCAUGGAAUGCUCUGCUACCAGAGGUCACUCAGUGAUGUAUAGAGCCUUGUCAUCAUGGAAUGCUCUGC